UACGAAGGGGGCUAGCGUUGUUCGGAAUCACUGGGCGUAAGGGGCGCGUAGGCGGCCGAUCAAGUCGGGGGUGAAAGCCUGUGGCUCAACCACAGAAUUGCCUUCGAUACUGGUUGGCUUGAGACCGGAAGAGGUAAGUGGAACUGCGAGUGUAGAGGUGAAAUUCGUAGAUAUUCGCAAGAACACCAGUGGCGAAGGCGGCUUACUGGUCCGGUUCUGACGCUGAGGCGCGAAAGCGUGGGGAGCAAACAGG
rnacentral:rRNA from 1 species